rnacentral:rRNA from 1 species
GAUGAACGCUAGCGACAGGCCUAACACAUGCAAGUCGAGGGGCAGCACGAAGUAAGCUUGCUUACUUUGGUGGCGACCGGCGCACGGGUGCGUAACAAGUGUGCAAUCUGUCCAUAAUCGGGGAAUAGCCCAGCGAAAGUUGGAUUAAUGCUCCAUGUGAGUUUUAGAGGCAUCUCUUUAAUUUGAAACGUAAGGAUUAUGGGUGAGCACACUUCUGAUUAGGUAGUUGGUGAGGUAACGGCUCACCAAGCCGACGAUCAGUAGGGGUUCUGAGAGGAAGGUCCCCCACAUUGGAACUGAGACACGGUCCAAACUCCUACGGGAGGCAGCAGUGAGGAAUAUUGGUCAAUGGACGGAAGUCUGAACCAGCCAAGUCGCGUGAAGGAUGAAGGUUCUAUGGAUUGUAAACUUCUUUUGUCUGAGGGUAGAACAGUGGACGUGUCCACUCUUGCAAGUAUCAGACGAAUAAGCAUCGGCUAACUCCGUGCCAGCAGCCGCCGCAGUAA